GUUGUAUAUUGCCACUUCUAAUUUAGGAAAAAUUGAUGUAUUUGGAGUCGGUCUCAGCUCUCUAGAAGGGUCAAAGGUCACAGCUUCCCCUAACAUGGUCCCAGCCAUUUCUCAUAUGUAUAUAGUAUAAACCGUGACAAACACUGCCUUUAUAUUAUUUAGCAAUAUGUUGUAAAUAGCAUUAUGAGGCUCUCUUUUUUGUAAUAAAGACCCUAUGAUUUGAAUAUAGUACAGUAAUUGAACUGAUAAAGUCAAUUUUUGAUUUUUUUUUAGCUAGAGGCAAUUUCAAUUGUGCAUUUUUGUUAUUGUCUGUUGUUCUGAAGACUGCAUAAUUUAUUGGUUUAAUUUAUCCUAAUUUAUUUGAUGAAGGUGUACAAUUUUGUAUUACCAAGGAUGUACUGUAAUAUUAAUCGAUAGGAUUGAAAACAGUGAGGCUCCCUGUCCUUAUUCAAAAGAAAACAAAAAAGGUGCCGUGGACAAUUGAUUUUAAAGUAAAAAGUAAAAACGAUUUAGUUUGGCAGCUACUAAAUUUUAAAAUGAGUUAGAAAAAAAAAAACCUAAAGGACAAUGCUGUCGUGGGGGGCGGGGAGGGUUUCCGUUGUGUGUUUUAAGCUUUUCUAUAUUCUCCGAACUUUGACCGUUUGCUUUGUACCACUAAAGGGUGCAGUAGUCCAACUGCCUUGUGUGCCUUCCAUCUUCUCCUAAACUGAAUGUAUGUGCAGUAUAUAUAUGCAAGCUUGUGCAGAAUAAAAUAUACAUUACAAGC
rnacentral:lncRNA from 1 species